rnacentral:tRNA from 1 species
GGGGCUGUAGCUCAGUGGUAGAGCACUUGCCUAGCAUGUAUGAGGCACUGGGUUCAAUCCUAAGCACCA